GGCUGUGUAGCUCAGAUGGUUAGAGCGCCGCUCUGUCACGGCGGAGGUCGCGGGUUCGAGUCCCGUCACGGUCG
rnacentral:tRNA from 1 species